GUUUGUUGCUGUCUCAAUAAAAAUUUCUAUCUUGUGGUAUUCAUUAGCAACGGCCAUUAUACGACGUAAGAUUUCUAUUUCCCCAGGGUGGAAGAAUUCUUUUAGGUCUGGAUUUGUUGUUAACUAAAUUUUUGAUAUUGUUAUGUUUCCAAACUACACGCAAACUACAAAGCUACCGGUGAAAACUACAGAGGCUUGUAGUAGGUACACCACUGAUUCAUAGCACAUAGGUGUCUAGCGGGCGAAUGAAAUGUCCUAGGACAACAAUACUUUCAUCAGAUUAUGUCUAGCGGGCGCACGAAAUACCCUAGGACAGCAAUUCUUCCAUCAGAUUGUGUCUAGCGGGCGAACAAAAUAUUGUAACACAACCAUUCUUGCAUCUAAUUCGGGCGAACGAAAUAUCCUAGGGCAGCGAUUCUUUCAUCAGAUUGUGUCUAGCGGGCGAAUGAAAUGUCCUAGGACAACGAUUCUUGCAUCAGAUUGUGUCUAGCGGGCGAACGAAAUAUCCUAGGACAGCGAUUCUUUCGCCAAAUUUAGGUACCAUGGAUGAUGGUGCGAGUACAGUUCUAUUCAUGUUCUGCACUACCACAUUGAAAGUGUACAAAUAAACAUGUUUUCUUAUGUCGUACAAUUUUUGUGCGAUCGCCACGCGAUUGGCUUGUGUACCAUGUUAGUCUCAUUUUUAUCGUCAGGUGAUCAGCACGCACAUUUUCUUCAUUAUUCAUUAUUCUUGAGUUGCUAAAUGUUUCUUCAAUUGUGCGCAAUUGAUGUGCGGGGUUCGUACCACGCGGAUUGUACAUACUCAGAGGUAAAACGUGAGUGAUGUUCCGUCGGCCGUCUUAUUUUUUUUGUAUUAUACGCGUAUUUCAUCGGUUCUACAAUGUGCAUAAUUAUGGUCCAUACAACUUAUUGGAUAUACCAAAACAAAAAUUUAUUUUGCAUCAAGGUAUGUUCUCGCAUUUUUUCAGCCAUUUGAAAAUCAAAUCCAUUAUUGACUUUACUUGUUUGCGCUUUUCCAAUUGUUUUACAUGAUUCGAAAUAAAAUUCUGAUUUGUGCUUUAAUUUUUAAAUUUUAUUUUUGGAUUCCGACAGUAAAUAAAAUUCUGAAUGCAGUAACACAAUUAUAGAUUAAGGCCCUAUUGACAUGUAAAAACCAAUUUUUGUAUUAAAAAUGUAAAAUACACCAAUACAUAAAUAAUAAAAGUAUACAAUACUACAA